UGGGGAAUAUUGCACAAUGGGCGAAAGCCUGAUGCAGCAACGCCGCGUGAGGGACGACGGCCUUCGGGUUGUAAACCUCUUUUAGCAAGGAAGAAGCGAAAGUGACGGUACUUGCAGAAAAAGCGCCGGCUAACUACGUGCCAGCAGCCGCGGUAAUACGUAGGGCGCAAGCGUUAUCCGGAAUUAUUGGGCGUAAAGAGCUCGUAGGCGGUUUGUCGCGUCUGCUGUGAAAACCCGAGGCUCAACCUCGGGCCUGCAGUGGGUACGGGCAGACUAGAGUGCGGUAGGGGAGAUUGGAACUCCUGGUGUAGCGGUGGAAUGCGCAGAUAUCAGGAAGAACACCGAUGGCGAAGGCAGAUCUCUGGGCCGUAACUGACGCUGAGGAGCGAAAGGGUGGGGAGCAAAACAGGCUUAGAUACCCUGGUAGUCCACCCCGUAAACGUUGGGAACCAGUUGUGGGGUCCAUUCCACGGAUUCCGUGACGCAGCUAACGCAUUAAGUUCCCCGCCUGGGGAGUACAGCCG
rnacentral:rRNA from 1 species